rnacentral:rRNA from 1 species
UGGCGGACGGGUGAGUAACGCGUGGGUAACCUGCCUCAUACAGGGGGAUAACAGUUAGAAAUGACUGCUAAUACCGCAUAAGACCACAGUACCGCAUGGUGCAGGGGUAAAAACUCCGGUGGUAUGAGAUGGACCCGCGUCUGAUUAGGUAGUUGGUGGGGUAACGGCCUACCAAGCCGACGAUCAGUAGCCGACCUGAGAGGGUGACCGGCCACAUUGGGACUGAGACACGGCCCAA